rnacentral:rRNA from 1 species
AGAGUUUGAUCCUGGCUCAGGAUGAACGCUAGCGGCAGGCCUAAUACAUGCAAGUCGAGCGGAGGGUAGCGAUAUCCUUAGCGGCGGACGGGUGAGUAACGCGUACACAACAUGCCUUUGGUUGGGGGAUAGCCAGUGGAAACGCUGAGUAAUACCGCAUAAGACCACGGCCCGGCAUCGGGGAGGGGUUAAAGCUGAGGCGACCAGAGAUUGGUGUGCGUUCGAUUAGCUAGUUGGCGGGGUAACGGCCCACCAAGGCGACGAUCGAUAGGGGGUGUGAGAGCAUGGCCCCCCACACGGGUACUGAGACACGGACCCGACUCCUACGGGAGGCAGCAGUAAGGAAUAUUGGACAAUGGGCGGAAGCCUGAUCCAGCCAUGCCGCGUGAAGGACGAAGGCCCUAUGGGUCGUAAACUUCUUUUGAAUGGGGACAAAGGCGCCGACGUGUCGGUGUUUGAGGGUACCAUUAGAAUAAGCACCGGCUAACUCCGUGCCAGCAGCCGCGGUAAUACGGAGGGUGCGAGCGUUAUCCGGAAUCACUGGGUUUAAAGGGUGCGUAGGCUGUGGGACAAGUCUGUCGUGAAAUGCAGCGGCUCAACCGCGUGAACUGCGAUGGAAACUGUUUUACUUGAAUUGUGGUGAGGCUGGCGGAAUGUGGCAUGUAGCGGUGAAAUGCAUAGAUAUGCCAUAGAACACCGAUUGCGAAGGCAGCUGGCCAACCAUGGAUUGACGCUGAGGCACGAAAGUGUGGGGAGCAAACAGGAUUAGAUACCCUGGUAGUCCACACCCUAAACGAUGUUUACUCGUUGUUUGCUUUUAGGAGUGAGCGACCAAGCGAAAGCGUUAAGUAAACCACCUGGGGAGUACGCCGGCAACGGUGAAACUCAAAGGAAUUGACGGGGGUCCG